rnacentral:rRNA from 1 species
AGAGUUUGAUCCCUGGCUCAGAAACGAACGCUGGCGGCGUGCCUAACACAUGCAAGUCGUACGAGAAACACGUCCUUCGGGGCGUGGAGUAAAGUGGCGCACGGGUGAGUACACGUGGGUAACCUGCCCUUGGAACCGGGAUAACUGGCCGAAAGGCCCGCUAAUACCGGAUAAGACUUCAUGAGCUUCGGCUCAUGCGGCCAAAGUCGGCCUCUCGAAGAAGCCGGCGCCUGAGGAUGGGCCCGCGGACCAUUAGCUAGUUGGUGAGGUAACGGCUCACCAAGGCCGAGAUGGUUAGCUGGUCUGAGAGGAUGAUCAGCCACACUGGAACUGAGAUACGGUCCAGACUCCUACGGGAGGCAGCAGUGAGGAAUAUUGCGCAAUGGAGGCAACUCUGACGCAGCAACGCCGCGUGGGUGAAGAAGGCUUUCGGGUUGUAAAGCCCUGUCAGGUGGGAAGAAACCUCUUCUAGUGAAUAGCUAGAGGAACUGACGGUACCACCAAAGGAAGCACCG